CAACCCUCAAGCUCUGCUUGGUAUUGGGCUCUGCCGGUCCCGGCAGGCCUUAAAAUCAGUGGCGGUGCCAUUCGGCUUCAAGCGUAGUAAUUCUUCUCGCUUUGGAGACCCGGGUGCGUGCUUGCCAGCAACCCCCAAUUUUUUCA
rnacentral:misc_RNA from 1 species